rfam:Aspergillus aculeatus ATCC 16872 unplaced genomic scaffold ASPACscaffold_2, whole genome shotgun sequence.
GCUCGACUGGCCCAGUGGUUAAGGCGUCUGUCUUACAUUGCCCUGCAAUAAAAACACAGAAGGUCCUCGGUUCGAUCCCGAGGUUGAGCA